rnacentral:rRNA from 1 species
UACGAAGGGGGCUAGCGUUGCUCGGAAUCACUGGGCGUAAAGGGUGCGUAGGCGGGUCUUUAAGUCAGGGGUGAAAUCCUGGAGCUCAACUCCAGAACUGCCUUUGAUACUGAAGAUCUUGAGUUCGGGAGAGGUGAGUGGAACUGCGAGUGUAGAGGUGAAAUUCGUAGAUAUUCGCAAGAACACCAGUGGCGAAGGCGGCUCACUGGCCCGGUACUGACGCUGAGGUGCGAAAGCG